GCCUUGGUGUGAUAAGUCCUGCAAAUUGUUAUACCCUAUUUAUUAGGUUAUCUAAUUCUGUCUAAUUUAUAGUUGAGGGCAAAAAAGCAUUGUUUAUUAAAAAUUAACUAUUUAUAAUUUUUGCAAUACAUUUUAAAUCUUGAAUUAACUUUAUUUUAACUCAUAGAAAGUCAACUUAACAAAAGCAUGAUUCACACAGUCCAUAAUAUUAAGCAGUUUUUUAAAAUAUAAACUACAGUAAUGAUUUAAAAAGCACUUUUGUUUAUAUAAAACUUAAACUUCUUCAGUUUAUACUGUUCUAAAAUGAAUACAAUUUAAAUUUGAAUACUUGGGUUUUCAGAUGGUUCAAAUGUUCAAAAGAUUACAUUUUUAAAGAUGCAGCAAUGUGAUGCUAUAAUUUGAAAUUUUAAGUGUGGAAACAUUUUAUAUGAGAAUAUUUCUUGAAGCCAUAACACAAAACUAAUUGGCCUUUAAGACCUUUGGUAAAUAAACAUUGUUGUUCUACUUUUGCUUUAGGAAAAAAACUAACCAAUCUUUUGCAACACAUCUUGUAUGAUUGUAAGUUUGGGAGUUCAAACAAUAUACUGCUUGUAUUUGUUCAGUCAAAUAGAUCCAAAUCUAAAAUUUUAUAAGGUAUAUUAUAUAUCUUACACCUUUCUUCAUACACUUAACUAUACAAUUUACAGAAACUUUAUUAUUAGCAGAAGACAUAGCUGUGUAUACUAGGAAAGCUAUUUUUGAUAUGCUAUAUUUAAUUUGUCAUAUGAAUUAUUUUUGAUUUAAAGACAAAUUUUACCUACAACAGUUGACAUUCCAAUGGACUUGCUGUUGUCAGCUCUUUUGGCAGAAAUUGUCAUGAGGCAGAAAAAUGGGUAUUCUAUAGACUUUUGCAAUCCCUUACCCAGUUUUAAGGUGAAGUAAUGGAUGAUAGCUUAAUAAUGGCAACAUUGUGAAAAUAAUUUUGAUAUGUUCUUUAACCAUAUUAAUAGUAUAUUUCUGUCUGUUCAGUUCUUGCUAGAGUCACAACAUUCAGUGUUUAUCAUGAAAACAGCUUACUUCUAAUAUCAGUUUAGUAGGUUUGUUAAUCCUGCUAUUACAUCACACAUGGAGGACUUACAAAUAUUCUUCUUCCACAAAUGCAUUAAAAGUAGCAUUAGAAAUAAUUCAGAGUGCUGUGUAUGGUUGUGAAUUUUCAGCUGCAAAAUUUAACUAUUUAUAUUGCAGAAUUAAAUGAAAAUUGUUUCCAUCCACCACCUUAAUGCCAGAAGAGAGCAAGUUGUGCUUCUUUCCCAUGACCUUUGUUAUGUUGUAACUGUAGAGAUGGAUGAGAACCUAGAAAUUGAAUGUAUAGCAUACUAUUGGAAAA